GACGAACGCUGGCGGCGUGCUUAACACAUGCAAGUCGAACGGAAAGGCCCUGCUUUUGUGGGGUGCUCGAGUGGCGAACGGGUGAGUAACACGUGAGUAACCUGCCCUUGACUUUGGGAUAACUUCAGGAAACUGGGGCUAAUACCGGAUAGGAGCUCCUGCUGCAUGGUGGGGGUUGGAAAGUUUCGGCGGUUGGGGAUGGACUCGCGGCUUAUCAGCUUGUUGGUGGGGUAGUGGCUUACCAAGGCUUCGACGGGUAGCCGGCCUGAGAGGGUGACCGGCCACAUUGGGACUGAGAUACGGCCCAGACUCCUACGGGAGGCAGCAGUGGGGAAUAUUGCACAAUGGGCGGAAGCCUGAUGCAGAAACGCCGCGUGCGGGAUGACGGCCUUCGGGUUGUAAACCGCUUUCGCCUGUGACGAAGCGUGAGUGACGGUAAUGGGUAAAGAAGCACCGGCUAACUACGUG
rnacentral:rRNA from 1 species